AGUUGCAAGCGUCUCUGAAGAUACUACUAUAAAAAUUUACGAUUUUGAAACAGGAGAAUUGGAAAAAUCCUUAAAAGGGCACACCAAUAGCGUCAAUGACUUGGAUUUCGACCAAUCAGGUAAACUUCUCGCUACGUGUUCUGCCGAUCUGACCAUCAAACUUUGGGAUUUUACUUCGUAUGAAUGCAUUAAAACGCUUUACGGGCACGACCAUAACGUAUCAGGUGUUUGUUUUCAUCCAACGGGCGACCAUCUUUUUUCGGGGUCCCGUGACAGAGUCAUUAAAAAGUGGGAAGUUCGUAGCGGUUACUGUGUACAAACUUUAAUUGG